rnacentral:snoRNA from 1 species
UGCUAUGAUGCCUGAUUUCUUUAUAACUUUCGUUCUACUGACGAGGCCUAACAGCCUUGAGGACACUUUUUUUUUCCCUGAGC